AUAAAAAAGAUAUCUCAGGUACUUCAUUGCUAUCCAUUAUGCUCCCCAGUUUCAAGCAGAGCAAAAAAUUGUAAUUGAGUUGAUUUUUGAACAUGCAGAGCAGUUAGACAUCUGAAUUACCAAUCUUUAUUAUUAUUGCAAUAAACACACAGAUUACACUAAAAGCUAGUGAAUCAUAAACUUGCAGAUGACUUAUCCAAACACAAAGAUAAGACAUGAGUUUAUUAUUGUUGCUAUAAACACAGGGAUUAUAGCGAAAUUCAAAAACUAAAAACAAGGAAAAAAGUAGUGAUGAAAACAAAUGCCACUUUUGUGGGGAACACGAUUGCAUUCGCACAUGCAACAAGCCUUUUAAACCCAUAGGUGACCCAAAUAGGACGAGUGAAGUCUCGUGAGGGUUUCCAGAGACGUUACCCACAAACAUCAUGCAUACUGAUCAUCAACAUCUGCCUUGGGAGACUGAGUAGAUAUCCACCCCUCCAGCAUCAGGUGUUUUUUGGUUGAGGCGCAAUUCGAAUCUGUUUUCAAUGAACGGCCUGGUUAAGAGGUCGCUUUGCAAGUGACGUAAUCGGCAGCGCGUGAUUAGGUUGUUGCUGUCAGGUGGUCCGACAGGCUCGACCUUGAACAAUGUGCAAGCCCAAUUGUCUUUGGUUUCAUUUCGGUCAGCAGCUGCGGCCAGGACCAAUAGCCUGUUUUGGUCCACCCUUCUCAAGUAGUUGCCGUUGUAGGAGCAUUUGAUAUGCACGUAAUUCUUGUCGGCGUAGUCCUCAUUGUUUGGCUUCUCAGUGGUGAACUUUACGAACCUGCUGUUUUCAUUGUCCUCGGAAAAUUGGACAAUCUCAUUAAGGUCGCUUUCUGCAUCAAGUUGAUAACGCAAAUACUUGUUGUUGGUAUCUGCUUUCAGCAGAAAGGGGCUUGGUAGUACAGGUGGAGCCAUGUUGUAUAGUGUAGUUGGGAUUGGGAUGAACUCUCUUUUUUUCUUCUCUCUUGAUGGUUUAAUUUGCUUGCUGUGAGUGUGUUGCUCUGUUCAAACCUGCUAUCCUAUUUAUAAGAAAUUAAGCACAAGCUAGCUCAAGUUAUGGUCUUUAAUUAAUAUUAUUUUCGACAAAUCAGUUUCCCAUGUCUUUCAUUGAUAUGAACAUGGCUGAUCUCAUUGGUGUGACGCAAGAUUUGUUAAAAUAGCUGAUCGGAUUGAUUUCUUUGUAUAACUCUUCUGCCAAUUCUGCAACUUGUAGAUGCAAUUCCCAUUACAAAAUAAAAAAUAAAAAAUAAAAUCCUAAACUCAUAUAAGAUAAAUAAAGACUUUAUUUACGGGAUCGAAUGCACAUUGAUGGGUGCGCAUUUUCCUUCGUCAUCUUUUCUGUGCUAUUAACUUGUGCGAUUGUCGACUUUCAUAAAUUACAACGGCUACAGGUAAAAUGUCACCCUAGUUUUGAUAAAUAGUGAAGGCAUAUGGCAAAGUCUGUGCGGUCGUUUUUCAUGAAGCAAAUUCUUGUAGGUCUAAUGAUGGGGCAUAUGACAAAAACUUCUUUCUUGUUUAAAACUGAGCAUAAAUUUUAAAUUUUGUUAUAACAUUUCACAACUAUUAAAGGUUAACUCAAUGGCCGUAAGCACCAAAGAGAAAAAUGGUUAAGUGAAUGUUAUUAGAAUUAUAUAAAACUGCUUGCAUAGUAUUUUACGAAUAAGAAAUUUUAUAGAAUAUAGAAUAAGUAUUUCUUUUUAAAAAAAAAAAAUUGGGAUGGUAUAUUACACUAAAAUAUUUGUUGUAGAAUUUAGAUAUGAUCAUAGAAAAAGACUUUGCAAAAUGUCAAAAAAUUUAUACCACGUAGAAUGACUAUAAUUGCCAGAUAGUUAAAAGUUUUGCAACAUGUAAUCGACAUGGUUUCAUAGGACCUACAUCUAGUUGACUUGGUUGUUAAAAUUAAUGUAAGACUUUUAGUUGAUAUUUCUUGAGGGUGAAACACCUUUUGAGAAACGUUUUGGGCCUCAUUACAAUUUUUUCACUUAUCUUUUAUGUUUCAACUUAAAUAUUCUACUAUAAAUACAUUUGGGGCUUAACAACUGGUAAAACCAUUUCCAGAUGUAUUUUAAAGAUUUUCUUAAUGUCACGGAAAAUAUUUUACGAAAAUGAAAGAUUUGAAUUUCCACAAAAAAACGUUGGUUAACUCACGGUUUUUUGUCGGUUUUGUAAAUUUGUAUAAAUAUCUUCGUUAAAUCUAUUUGUUUUCACAUUAACCUCACUGUGAGGUACUUAAAAUUAAUGUAACUUUCCGUCGAUAUUCUUGAGUAUUGACCCUUGUUAAGGCAAAGAUUUGGGCCUCACUACAUUUUUUUUCAUUUAUGUCUUAGGUUUCGGCUUUCACAAAGCACAAGGCUGUAGACCUGAAGUUUUGAUUAAAAAUAUUUGUAACAUGACAGCAUAUGGCUAUAGGCGUGGAGUCUUUGCUAACAAUUAAAAGUUUUGUAAUAAAAUAUUUGACUUGGUUUAUAAGACCUACAUCUAGAUGAUUUGGUUUUUAAAACAAAUAUAAGACUUUUUGUUGAUAUUUCUUGAGGAUGAAACACCAGUUGAGAAACGUCUUGCAUCUCAUUACAAUUUUUUUUUUCAUUUAUUUUUUAGGUUUCAACUUAAAUAUUAUACUAUAAAUACAUAUGUGGCUCAAUAAUUGGUAAAACCAUUUCCAAAUCUCUUGUAAACAUUUUCUUAACGUCAUGGAAAAUAUUUUACAAAAAUAAAACAUUUGUAUUUUUCACAAAAGACAAAGGUUAACAAUCACGGUUUUUAUAUCGGUUAUACAAAUUCAUUCGAAAAUCAUCAUUAAGUCUAUUUGUUUUCACAUUCGCCUUAUCGUGAGGUACUUAAAAAUAAUGUAUAGCUUUCCGUCACUAUUCUUGAGUAUAGAGCGUAGUUAAGGCAAAUAUUUGGGGCCCACUACCAUUUUUUUUCAUUUAAUUUUAAGUUUCGGCUUAGAUAUACCAUUUAAACUAAAUCUUGGAUCAAUAAUUGGAAACAAAUACUCUCCCCAUGCGAGCUCCUUCGUCAAUUCCCCUGGCGAACUCUGAGUGCCUCUAAAGAAAUGAUUAACUGAAAUUAGAAUUUUUGAAACCUUGUGUUUGGUUGUAUCUAACGAUCCCUAAUACCAAAUUUAAGGUUUGGAUAUAUAAAAAAGAUAUCUCGGGUAAUUCAUUGCUAGCCAUUAUGCUCCCCAGUUUCAAGCAAAGCAAAAAAUUCUAAUUGAGUUGAUUUUUUAACAUACAGAGUAGUUAGACAUCUGAAUUACCAAUCUUUAUUAUUAUUGCAAUAAACACACAGAUUACACUAAAAGCUAGUGAAUCAUAAACUUGUAGAUGACUUAUCCAAACACAAAGAUAAGACAUGAGUUUAUUAUUGUUGCUAUAAACACCCGGAUUACAGCGAAAUUCAAAAACUAAAAACAAGGAAAAAAGUAGUGAUGAAAACCAAUGCCACUUUCGUGGGGAACACGAUUGCAUUCGCACAUGCAACAAGCCUUUUAAACCUAUAGGUGACCCAAAUGGGAAGAGUGAAGUCUCUCGUGAGGGUUUCCAGAGACGUUACCCACAAACAUCAUGCAUACCGAUCAUCAACAUCUGACUUGGGAGACUGAGUAGAUAUCCACCCCUCCGGCAUCAGGUGUUUUUUGGUUGAGGCGCAAUUCGAAUCUGCUUUCAAUGAAUGGUCUGGUUAAGAGGUUGCUUUGCAAGUGACGUAAUCGGCAGCGCGUGAUUAGGUUGUUGCUGUCAGGUGGUCCGACAGGCUCGACCUUGAACAAUGUGCAAGCCCAAUUGUCUUUGGUUUCGUUUCGGUCAGCAGCAGCGGCCAGGACCAAUAGCCUGUUUUGGUCCACCCUUCUCAAGUAGUUGCCGUUGUAGGAGCAUUUGAUAUGCACGUAAUUCUUGUCGGCGUAGUCCUCAUUGUUUGGCUUCUCGGUAGUGAACUUUAUGAACCUGCUGUUUUCAUUGUCCUCGGAAAAUUGGACAAUCUCAUUAAG
rnacentral:lncRNA from 1 species